CAGACGAGGAGCUUGCUCCUCUGACGUUAGCGGCGGACGGGUGAGUAACACGUGGAUAACCUACCUAUAAGACUGGGAUAACUUCGGGAAACCGGAGCUAAUGCCGGAUAAUAUAUUGAACCGUAUGGUUCAAUAGUGAAAGACGGUUUUGCUGUCACUUAUAGAUGGAUCCGCGCCGCAUUAGCUAGUUGGUAAGGUAACGGCUUACCAAGGCAACGAUGCGUAGCCGACCUGAGAGGGUGAUCGGCCACACUGGAACUGAGACACGGUCCAGACUCCUACGGGAGGCAGCAGUAGGGAAUCUUCCGCAAUGGGCGAAAGCCUGACGGAGCAACGCCGCGUGAGUGAUGAAGGUCUUCGGAUCGUAAAACUCUGUUAUUAGGGAAGAACAAAUGUGUAAGUAACUAUGCACGUCUUGACGGUACCUAAUCAGAAAGCCACGGCUAACUACGUGCCAGCAGCCGCGGUAAUACGUAGGUGGCAAGCGUUAUCCGGAAUUAUUGGGCGUAAAGCGCGCGUAGGCGGUUUUUUAAGUCUGAUGUGAAAGCCCACGGCUCAACCGUGGAGGGUCAUUGGAAACUGGAAAACUUGAGUGCAGAAGAGGAAAGUGGAAUUCCAUGUGUAGCGGUGAAAUGCGCAGAGAUAUGGAGGAACACCAGUGGCGAAGGCGACUUUCUGGUCUGUGACUGACGCUGAUGUGCGAAAGCGUGGGGAUCAAA
rnacentral:rRNA from 1 species